GGACGAACGCUGGCGGCGUGCCUAAUACAUGCAAGUUGAGCGCUGAAGGUUGGUACUUGUACCGACUGGAUGAGCAGCGAACGGGUGAGUAACGCGUGGGGAAUCUGCCUUUGAGCGGGGGACAACAUUUGGAAACGAAUGCUAAUACCGCAUAAAAACUUUAAACACAAGUUUUAAGUUUGAAAGAUGCAAUUGCAUCACUCAAAGAUGAUCCCGCGUUGUAUUAGCUAGUUGGUGAGGUAAAGGCUCACCAAGGCGAUGAUACAUAGCCGACCUGAGAGGGUGAUCGGCCACAUUGGGACUGAGACACGGCCCAAACUCCUACGGGAGGCAGCAGUAGGGAAUCUUCGGCAAUGGACGAAAGUCUGACCGAGCAACGCCGCGUGAGUGAAGAAGGUUUUCGGAUCGUAAAACUCUGUUGGUAGAGAAGAACGUUGGUGAGAGUGGAAAGCUCAUCAAGUGACGGUAACUACCCAGAAAGGGACGGCUAACUACGUGCCAGCAGCCGCGGUAAUACGUAGGUCCCGAGCGUUGUCCGGAUUUAUUGGGCGUAAAGCGAGCGCAGGUGGUUUAUUAAGUCUGGUGUAAAAGGCAGUGGCUCAACCAUUGUAUGCAUUGGAAACUGGUAGACUUGAGUGCAGGAGAGGAGAGUGGAAUUCCAUGUGUAGCGGUGAAAUGCGUAGAUAUAUGGAGGAACACCGGUGGCGAAAGCGGCUCUCUGGCCUGUAACUGACACUGAGGCUCGAAAGCGUGGGGAGCAAACA
rnacentral:rRNA from 2 species